rnacentral:rRNA from 1 species
AAACUUGAGCUAAUACCGGAUACGCCCUUACGGGGAAAGAUUAUUGCCGAAGGAACGGCCCGCGUCSGAUUAGCUAGUUGGUGAGGUAAUGGYUCACCAAGGCGACGAUCSGUAGYUGKUCUGAGAGGAUGACCAGCCUCACUGGGACUGAGACACGSCCCAGAYUCCUACGGGAGGCAGCAGUGGGGAAUAUUGGACAAUGGGCGCAAGCCUGAUCCAGCCAUGCCGCGUGRAUGAUGAAGGCCUUAGGGUUGUAAAGUCYUUUUAACSGGGAAGAUAAUSACSGUACCCGYAGAAYMAGCCCCGGCUAAC